rnacentral:rRNA from 1 species
AUUGAACGCUGGCGGCAUGCCUUACACAUGCAAGUCGAACGGUAACAGGUCUUCGGAUGCUGACGAGUGGCGAACGGGUGAGUAAUACAUCGGAACGUGCCCGAUCGUGGGGGAUAACGCAGCGAAAGCUGUGCUAAUACCGCAUACGAUCUACGGAUGAAAGCGGGGGAUCUUCGGACCUCGCGCGGACGGAGCGGCCGAUGGCAGAUUAGGUAGUUGGUGAGGUAAAGGCUAACCAAGCCGACGAUCUGUAGCUGGUCUGAGAGGACGACCCGCCACACUGGGACUGAGACACGGCCCAGACUCCUACGGGAGGCAGCAGUGGGGAAUUUUGGACAAUGGGCGCAAGCCUGAUCCAGCCAUGCCGCGUGCAGGAUGAAGGCCUUCGGGUUGUAAACUGCUUUUGUACGGAACGAAAAGCCUCUUUCUAAUAAAGAGAGGUCAUGACGGUACCGUAAGAAUAAGCACCGGCUAACUACGUGCCAGCAGCCGCGGUAACAC